UUAUGAACACAAUAUUGCCUGAUUGUCAGUGAACCAUGGCUCUGUGUAGUGAAUGCCACUCAAUCUGAAAGCAGGUGACGUAAUUUAGCCUUUUAUAAAGUAGGCCAUUUUCAUAAGACUCAACACUACAUCUACCUCCUUAAAAGUGACUGACAAUCAACAUGCAGGUAUUUUCAACACUACACAAGCUACACUAUUCCCUGGCUUGGACGUGUGAUGAACUCAGUACCUGUCCAGAUUGGAUUCAGAUCUAUCAGCAGCCCACAGGGAUCUCAAGUGUCUUUAACUAAAAGAAAUACACACUGAAAAGGUGCAAGUGCAAUUUAUUGGCAACUGUUUUCUUUAACCAAAAUGCUUUUCUUCUAAUGCCCCCUGGUGGCUAUGAUGAGUAUCAAGAUUAUGUAGAAGCACUAAGAAAUCUGUUCAGUUACUGGGUGAAUCUCACAAAACUUCAUAUAUGUAGAAACACAAGAUAGUUUGAAAGUUACUACAGAGAUUAAAGGAACAGUUUGCGAAGAAAUAUUAAUGCAAUUUUUACUCACUUUCAUGUUGUUCCAAAUCCAAAUGCUGUUUUUAUUUCCAUGGAACACAGAGCUGUUUUUGGUACAACAAAGAAUGCCUAAAAAGGACAAAAAAGAGACCAUAAACACAUUAUACCUUAGUGUAUAAGCACACAAAAGAACACGCAUAUAAAGCUCACUUGUCCAGGUCACAUUUCAUCUUAAAAUAAAUAAAUAUAAAUACACUGAAAGAACAUUAAGAAAAUGAAGCCUAUUUUUGACCAUUGUAUUGUGACAUUGUCUCAUCUAAUACAGUAAAUCGAAUUACAGAACUACAUAAAUAGAUUGAUUAAUCAAUCAAUCAAUCAUAACAUCUGGAUGCAUUAAAGUAAUGAGAAUUAAGGUUAAAUGUGCUCAAUUGUCAUGAAAAUAAUGUUACAGAGCAUAAAAAAAAAACUGUCCUAAGGCCUCAUUUUCUUUGAGCAAAUGUAUUAUUUUUAUCGAUUGAUUGAUUGAUUUGAAAUGUGACCUAGUCUUGUUUUCAUCCUCAGAUUCACUUGAGAGUCAAUGAAUCAACUUUUUCUAUGUGAAAAUGUAAGAAUUCUGUCUUGUUUUCUCUCAAAAAAAUAUUGUUGCAUGGGGAUAUUUAAAAAGUCUGAUUACAGUAACACAGUCAAUAUGAUAAACAGUCUGUUGUGAGACAAGCAUGUGCAUGAAUCAGAAAUGUACCGAAGAAAUGCAAACCAUAAGUGGACUCAGAAAUACAGAAUAAAAUGAUAGAUUUAAUGGCAU